UACGUAGGGGGCAAGCGUUGUCCGGAUUUAUUGGGCGUAAAGAGCGUGUAGGCGGCCAUGUAGGUCCGUUGUGAAAACUCGAGGCUCAACCUCGAGACGCCGAUGGAAACCAUGUGGCUAGAGUGCGGAAGAGGAGAGUGGAAUUCCUGGUGUAGCGGUGAAAUGCGCAGAUAUCAGGAAGAACACCCGUGGCUAAGGCGGCUCUCUAGUACGGUACUGACGCUGAGACGCGAAAGCGUGGGGAGCGAACAGG
rnacentral:rRNA from 1 species